rnacentral:piRNA from 1 species
ACCACCCUGAACGCGCCCG